rnacentral:misc_RNA from 1 species
ACAAACUUGGUCAUUUAGAGGAAGUAAAAGUCGUAACAAGGUCUCCGUAGGUGAACCUGCGGAGGGAUCAUUACCAGAGAUGGCGGGCCCCUGCGCCCCCGUCCCCAACCCUUUGUUGACCCAACCUUUUUGCCUCGGGGGUGGAGCGGCCUCGGCCGCCGCCCCCGGAGGACCACCGAACGCUGUCUCUGUACGUCAGAGUUUUGAUUGAAUAAAUAAAAACUUUCAACAACGGAUCUCUUGGUUCUGGCAUCGAUGAAGAACGCAGC